GUGGGGAAUAUUGGACAAUGGGCGCAAGCCUGAUCCAGCCAUGCCGCGUGAGUGAUGAAGGCCUUAGGGUUGUAAAGCUCUUUCAGUGGGGACGAUAAUGACGGUACCCACAGAAGAAGCCCCGGCUAACUUCGUGCCAGCAGCCGCGGUAAUACGAAGGGGGCUAGCGUUGUUCGGAUUUACUGGGCGUAAAGCGCACGUAGGCGGAUCGUUAAGUCGGGGGUGAAAUCCUGGAGCUCAACUCCAGAACUGCCUUCGAUACUGGCGAUCUUGAGGCCGGAAGAGGUGAGUGGAACUCCUAGUGUAGAGGUGGAAUUCGUAGAUAUUAGGAAGAACACCAGUGGCGAAGGCGGCUCACUGGUCCGGUACUGACGCUGAGGUGCGAAAGCGUGGGGAGCAAACAGGAUUAGAAAUCCGUGUAGUCC
rnacentral:rRNA from 1 species